UGGGGAAUCUUGCGCAAUGCGCGAAAGCGUGACGCAGCAACGCCGCGUGAGGGAAGACGGCCUUCGGGUUGUAAACCUCUUUCAGUUGGGACGAAGCCUCGGCGGUGAACAGCCGUUCGAGGUGACGGUACCUUCAGAAGAAGCCCCGGCUAACUACGUGCCAGCAGCCGCGGUAAUACGUAGGGGGCAAGCGUUGUCCGGAAUCAUUGGGCGUAAAGAGCGCGUAGGCGGUCCGGUAAGUCCGCUGUGAAAGUCAAGGGCUCAACCCUUGAAAGCCGGUGGAUACUGUCGGGCUAGGGUCCGGAAGAGGCGAGUGGAAUUCCUGGUGUAGCGGUGAAAUGCGCAGAUAUCAGGAGGAACACCUAUGGCGAAGGCAGCUCGCUGGGCCGGUACUGACGCUGAGGCGCGAAAGCGUGGGGAGCAAACAGG
rnacentral:rRNA from 1 species